AUGUGUGGCAGGCACUGCUUAGUAGCGUUUGCUAUAGUUAGUAGAAAUUGUACCUGCUUUCUUUGGAUAGCACCAUGAAUCUCAACCAUCCCUCUACUUCUUCCAACAAUCACAGGUCUUUCUAUCUCCUCCUUCUUUCAAAAGAUUCCAUGAACUCUGACUGGGCUGGUUCCACCUGUCUUAAGUCAAAGCUCUAGCUGGUCGGUUGGUCAUGCUGAAAACAGCAGACUAAGUAAAGACUUCGAAUGUUGAUGCUCUGAUUCUCCUUUGGAAAGAACGAAGCCCUUGGCUCCUUGUCAUGCUGAGACCCGUCUAAGAAAGCUAUUAGUGACAGCACAGUUUUAAAGAUGGAGAAAAUGAUGGAAAGAAGCUGAAUGAUUUACCCAACAUCACUCAUCCAACAAGAGCUCAACUCCUAGAAAACCUAAUUUCAAGGAUACAAUACAAGAAGAAAUGGAGAGAAAAUACAGUUUUCUUUCUUAUAAAGAAUCUAAUUUUUUUUAAUAUGUGAAAAUACAAAGAAACAUUGAGGAUAGGAAGAACCAAGUGGAAGAGAUAUACGAGAAGAUGACUGGAAGAAUGAAAUGAAUACAA